UACAGAGGUGGCAAGCGUUGUUCGGAAUUACUGGGCGUAAAGGGCGCGUAGGCGGCCUGCUAAGUCACACGUGAAAUCCCUCGGCUCAACCGGGGAACUGCGUGUGAUACUGGCGGGCUUGAAUUCGGGAGAGGGAUGUGGAAUUCCAGGUGUAGCGGUGAAAUGCGUAGAUAUCUGGAGGAACACCGGUGGCGAAGGCGGCAUCCUGGGACCGAGAUUGACGCUGAGGCGCGAAAGCUAGGGGAGCAAACGGG
rnacentral:rRNA from 1 species